GAUGAACGCUGGCGGCACGCUUAACACAUGCAAGUCGAACGAAAAUGUUUCACCGUAGCUUGCUACACCGAGACAUUUUAGUGGCGGACGGGUGAGUAACACGUGAGGAACCUGCCUAUCAGAGAGGGAUACCGUUUGGAAACGAACGUUAAUACCUCAUAACGUAACGAGAUCGCAUGAUAAUGUUACCAAAGAUUUAUCGCUGAUAGAUGGCCUCGCGUCUGAUUAGAUAGUUGGUGAGGUAACGGCCCACCAAGGCGACGAUCAGUAGCCGGCCUGAGAGGGUGAACGGCCACAUUGGGACUGAGACACGGCCCAAACUCCUACGGGAGGCAGCAGUGGGGAAUAUUGCACAAUGGGGGGAAACCCUGAUGCAGCGACGCCGCGUGAGUGAAGAAGUAUUUCGGAUGUAAAGCUCUAUCAGCAGGGAGAAAAUGACGGUACCUGACUAAGAAGCCCCGGNUAACUACGUG
rnacentral:rRNA from 1 species